AUGACACAAGUGCAAGACCGUCAACACCUUCAUCUUGAGUAUAUUCAAAGUCAGAGUGGUAGCUUCUCUCGGAGUAGUUGUCGGAGUCGGAGUCGGAUACCCAUUCACCAACAUGAGCUUGAUGUCUUUGUCUUGUAUAGAUAUUCGAUGACUUGUCCUUCCUUUUUGAAUCCUUACUUCUACGAGAGGAUCUUCGUUCAUAACAAUCAUCUAUACUCCUUCUUUCUCUUGGUGGUGAUUCUUCUGUUUUGCUUCUCCUUCUGGGUGAAUCUUCUCUUCUCUGUAGGGAGCCAUACACUCACUAGAGUAGUGUCCGGGUCUUCCACAAUUGUAGCAAUUGCGAUCACGACUAGAAGAUCUUUUGUCAUUGUAGGACCUUGA
rnacentral:rRNA from 1 species